rnacentral:rRNA from 1 species
UACGAAGGGGGCUAGCGUUGCUCGGAAUCACUGGGCGUAAAGCGCACGUAGGCGGGUCUUUAAGUCAGGGGUGAAAUCCUGGAGCUCAACUCCAGAACUGCCUUUGAUACUGAGGAUCUCGAGUCCGGGAGAGGUGAGUGGAACUCCGAGUGUAGAGGUGAAAUUCGUAGAUAUUCGGAAGAACACCAGUGGCGAAGGCGGGUCUCUGGGCCGAUAUUGACGCUGAGGAGCGAAAGCGUGGGGAGCGAACAGG